rnacentral:lncRNA from 1 species
CCCACCCCAUCUUAUAGGGAAAGACUAGCUGAAGGAGGCCUGGGUUCGAUGCCUGGCUGCAGGUUAGACAACUGGCUGCAGGACCUUGGAGCCAGUCGCUCAGCCACGCUCAGCCCCACCUUCCCAUCUGCGCAAUGCAGUGAUCGCCAUGCCCGCUUUGGAGACUCGGAAAUCAGACGCUCUACGCGGAGGGGUCCAGCGUGGGGCAUAUACAGCCCGGCGCAUGUGUGGUCCUCAGUAGCUGCUUACUCGAUCUGCAAGUGAAAUUUAAUUCCAGAAAUAGGACGAGCUGUGGAGAUGGUGGUGAAGGAACAGCCACGGGAACGCAGAGCGCCCUGAUCUGAAGCUGAGGAGGUAUGAACGCAAGUGAGGCUGGGGUCCGAACGCCUCACCCCGUUCCUCAGGGCAGUGCCCACUGGCCCAUCACACAAGGUGCGGGAGGAGGACCAUCUGACCACUAGUCACAUGGUGAGACAUCAAGACUGAGAACUGUAUCCAGCGCCCUUAAACCUCCUCCAUCCUUGAGUAGGAACAGACGCUUUCCCUCAGCUGCAUCUGGCCAAGGGCUUCACCACCAGCCUAGCUUCAGCUGGGACGGCUUUGGCUGCAAGUAACACCUGAGCAAACCCGGCUCAAACAAUAGAGGCUAAUGAGGAGUCUGGAGGUUGGAGGUUCCAGGCUGGGUUCACAGGGCGCAGGUCACAUCCUCCAAGAGUCCAUUGUGUUGACCUCGCCUUCCCGCUUGUAAGAUGGCAGCUACAGGUAUCGCUUCCCCAAGCACCAACAUCCCAUGACCCCAAGCUGGGGGAGGGUGCUUCUCAUCUAAAUCAAGUCCCCAGAAGACUUUCCUCAAGUUCCAGCGGCCAGAACUGGGUCACAGGCCCAGCCCUAAAACGAUCGUUGGCAAAGGAGAGAGAGCUGAGCUGGAGGCGGACCCCCACCGAGGACACGGCACCCAUACCUGAGCACAUUUGGGGUUCUGCUGGAAGGAAGAUGGCGGGAGCGGACGUUCAGUUGGAAACCAGCUGAGCUGCCAGGCCUUGUUGGGAUUUUGGGGUUUCAGCUUCUGCAUUAUUUUUAACUGGAGAUAUUAUACUGUCAAAACAAGUGAGUCAUCAUGCCCUUCUGACAGGAGCCUGGUGGAUUAUUAGUACUUCCAUCCAAAUUCCCAGGGAGACACAGGUGCAUGGAUGGGACGAGGAAAGGCACUGCACUACGCAUGAGAGAAACAGUCCCUAAAACAUUAAGGGAAAAAAUGAACUGAAUUGUCCAGAUACUUCGUGGGCUGCCCCAACAGAAAGUGGGAGCUUCUCCUGGCCCCUACUGGUCACUGAAAUGGUUCAAAAAGCCUUGAGAACACCAGGCAGGGGACAGGUUACUGGCAUUCUGACCCUAGAUGAGCUUGGCCUCAGUUUCCUCAUUUGUAAAAUCAGCAUUUGGUGUCAAGGGUCAAGAUCCUUGCCUCUCUGAUCCUCCGUGACUCAACCUUGAACCAUAAAUGACAAGCAGGACCUGAGGCUUGAAACCAGCAGUGUCCUGGGUCCUGGUAGUUCCCUCUAGACUGAUGGAGAUACUGCAGGGAUGAUGGUGAUGGUACCCAGCACACUGAGCACGUGCUGAGUGCCAGGCAUUGUUCUACGUGUGUUAUCUCGCUUAAUUCCCUCAACAAUCCUAUGGAAUGAUUACUUUUUUUAUGCCCCUGUAACAGAGGAGGAAACUGAGGCUUAGGGAGGCUCCUGCCUAUGUUCACCUCUCAUGGACUAAAUUACAUUCCUCCAGAAUUCAUCUGUUGAAUCCGUAACCCCUACUGUGAGCGUGUUAGGAGAUAGGCCCUUUAAAGAGGUAGCUAGAGUUAAAUGAGGUCGUAAGGAUGGGGCCCUAAUUCAGCGUGACCGAUGUGCUUAGAAGAAGAGGAAGAGACAGCAGGGAUGCACACCGAGGAGAGCCCAUGUGAGGAAAUGGUGAGAAGGUGGCCAUCUGCAAGCCAUGGAGAGAGGCCUCAGAAGAAAGCAGACCUGCCCACACCUUGACCUUGCACUUCUAGCCUCAGAACUGUGAGAGAAUAAACUUCUGGCGUUUAAGCCACUCAGCCUGUGGGAUUUUGUUACGGCAGCCCGAGGACUAACCCAUCACCCCACGGCAGAGCCAACAUUGGAACCAGGCAGUCCGACUUCAGAGCCACCUUCUUAAGGACCUCGUCAUCUACAAUGGAACCCUCUAAUUGGAGAGGAGGGUAAUAGAUAGCCUCAUGGCUGGGUCUGCAUGUACAAAGUAUACAGAUUGCCAGAUCCCAGCCCCUCCCUCCUUACUCAACAAAAGACAGUCCGUUCAGGACCAGCCAAGACCCAUGUUUUGCGUGGAAAUCAUCACAGGGAAAUAGAAGCCAGAGUUCAGUGGGUGUCUAGAACCAGCUGGCUAACUUGUAGAGCUGGGUCCUGCCUACAAUGCCUAUAGGCACCAAGGGGAUUUCAAUCAGAGGUUUUAAAUGGUAUCACCAUCUGCUUCCCAGGCAACAAUCUUGAAUGCUGCCCGAAACGAACAGUCCUGGACUUAAAUCGUCUCUUCCCCAGGAGUGGGAUCUUAGGCAAGUCACUUCACCCUUUGAGCCUCAGUUUCCCCAUCUGUCACAUAAUCAUUCGGGCUCUGCAGCAGUGCCGUGAGGAUAAAGAGGUUAACCUGUGGGCAAGAGCUUCGCAGAUGGUGUUAAUUCAGGAACACCCAACCAGAGGGACAACCUGAAAUCCCUUAGCUUCAUCAAAGCAAAACUUACAGCUACAAAUCCCCUGGCAGGCAGCCGCCAGUCCUUUCUAGAAGGAGCUGGGUAUAAAUUAUAGAUCACAGCCUAUCAGAUCAGCUGCUGUUCUGGUUCUGACCUCCCUGCGGGCAGGAAUCUAGGCUGGCUCCCUCAAAGCGCCUCCCAGGGCCCCGGAGAUCUCUGCUACCCCUGCAGUGCCUACCUCUUGCCCCCAGCUUUCCUUCCCCCAAAGACAAAUGCUCCUUGGCCUAGGGAUGAGGGGACUCCCAGAAGGACUCCCAGAAAGCAGCCCUCCCAUCGGCUUCCAAAGUUUAGAGCUGGCCACCACCGGAACCCCAAACCCCAGCCCCGCUGAGCACGCCCACUGCAUCCUCCAUCCCCCAGGAGAGGCUUCAUCCCAGGAUGGGAGAGGAGCAGAAUGCCCUGGGGGAAUUUUGUGUUUGAUGUUGGGAGCCAGCAAGAGGCUGUGGUGAAAGCAGCCGAGUUUUUAUCGGCAGGGCCUGCCCGCCUGAGGGGACCCAAUGAGAUCCCUUGCUUCCUUCCUGUGGCCGCUGCCCUCUCCACCUUCACUCACACACAUCUCGCCCAUGUUCCCAGGCCACACGCGGAACUGGGCUUCUCUCCCUUCCCCAGCCCCUCUCCAACGACUCUCCCAUGAGGGCUGGCUGAGCAAACUGCGCGUGAGUAGGGGAUGUCCAGGUCCAAGCGUUUCUUUACCUGGGAAACCUGGACAAGCAGAGCCCUGGAGCCAGAUGGCCAGGACCCCAACCAGCCUCUUCUUUUCCAGCCUCGCGACUUUGGACAAGUUACUCCCUCUCCAAGGCCUGUCGUCCUCGUCGGUAAAAAUGGAGACCCACUAAUACUCACGUCACCGGUGGGGGUUGUGAGGAUUAAAUGAGGAUGCAUAAAAAUGAGUGGCACAGCGCCUGGCAGGGAGUAAGCUUGAAACAGAGGUCAGCAAGCGCUGGUGCAGGGCGUGAAACAAGCAGGGCGGGAAGGGCACAAAAUGCAGGGGCCCGAGAGUGAGGGCUCCUUACAGUCUGUGGCCUGGGCCCCUUUCUUACCUCACUGAUAAUACUUGCACGGGAAGCAGAGAUACAAAAAGCCCUAAAUCACCCAAUAUUUGCAUCAGCCUUCAGGAAAGACAGACAGGUGCAGGGUGCAGUCUGCAGGGGGCGCAGUUCCUGGCUUUGGCUCCACUUCCUCAACUCGGUCCCACCUCUCAUCUGAAACGCCCUGUCAGUCGGUCCUUCCCUGCCGUCCUCAUCACAGAGCUGUGUGGGAACCCAAUGAGACAAGGAAGUGAAAGACCUUUGUAAACUACAGUAGACAGGACCACUCAAAAGAUGAUGCUCAUGCUUAGGAUCCUUAUUAGGUCCGGUGCGUCUUUCUCCCCUCUCCCUACCCGCUCCUGACAAGUGGAAGUCUCUCCAGGUGUUCAAAGUCUCCAUUAAAUCUAUUCGGUUGCCACUUGAUUCUCUUGCUUCAUAUCUUUGUAUUUGAGGAAAAGGAAAAUAGCACAUGUAUCCAAAAUAUGAGUCAGUCAUAAAGUGUUCUGUAGCCAGACCCAUUCAUCUUGCCUCCAUUUUAAUUUUUUAACUAAAAACCACAAAUCACUGACCACCACCUUCCAUGAAUUAAAUUGUAAGGAAACUUAGGAAACAGCUCGAAUUUUAGUCAAUAUUUGCCUUGGCCAUGAAAAAAAGAGCUUCCUUCUCUUGGCUGCCUCUAAUCAGGAGUGUUAAUUAUCUUGGUUACAUGCUAGCAAAUCAAUUAUGAACUAACGAAGUUAAAGGAGGUCACUUGUUAAGGAAAACUGAUUACAUGUUGUCGGCUCUGGGGGA